GUGGCUGUAGCUCAGUUGGUUAGAGUGUCUGGUUGUGGCCCAGAAGGCCGUGGGUUCAAGUCCCAUCAGCCACC
rnacentral:tRNA from 1 species